GGGGGGGGGGGGGGGGGGGCCGGGGGGGGGCGGGGCGGGCGGCGGCGGGGGGGCGAGCGUGGCGGCGGGCGGCGGACGGGGGAGGAGUUCGGCGGGAUCUGCCGUGGUGUGGGGGAUAACGUAGGGAAACUUACGCUAAUACCGCAUACGUCCUACGGGAGAACGUGGGGGACCGCAAGGCCUCACGCAGACAGAUGAGCCGACGACCGAUUAGCUAGUUGGUGGGGUAAAGGCCCACCAAGGCGACGAUCGGUAGCUGGUCUGAGAGGAUGAUCAGCCACACUGGGACUGAGACACGGCCCAGACUCCUACGGGAGGCAGCAGUGGGGAAUAUUGGACAAUGGGCGCAAGCCUGAUCCAGCCAUGCCGCGUGUGUGAAGAAGGCCUUCGGGUUGUAAAGCACUUUUGUCCGGAAAGAAAUCCCUGGAGCUAAUACCUUCGGGGGAUGACGGUACCGGAAGAAUAAGCACCGGCUAACUUCGUG
rnacentral:rRNA from 1 species